GUUAGAUUAGCUAGUUGGUAGGGUAAAGGCCUACCAAGGCGACGAUCUAUAGCUGGUCUGAGAGGACGAUCAGCCACACUGGGACUGAGACACGGCCCAGACUCCUACGGGAGGCAGCAGUGGGGAAUAUUGGACAAUGGGCGCAAGCCUGAUCCAGCAAUACCGCGUGUGUGAAGAAGGCCCUAGGGUUGUAAAGCACUUUCAAUGGGGAGGAAAACCUGCCGGUCAAUACCCGGUAGCUUGACAUUACCUGUAGAAGAAGCACCGGCUAACUCCGUGCCAGCAGCCGCGGUAAUACGGAGGGUGCGAGCGUUAAUCGGAAUUACUGGGCGUAAAGCGUGCGUAGGCGGUUCGUUAAGUCAGAUGUGAAAGCCCCGGGCUUAACCUGGGAACGGCAUUUGAAACUGGCGGACUGGAGUUGAGUAGAGGUAAGUGGAAUUUCAGGUUUAGCGGUGAAAUGCGUAGAUAUCUGAAGGAACACCAGUGGCGAAGGCGACUUACUGGACUCAAACUGACGCUGAGGUACGAAAGCGUGGGUAGCAAACAGGAUUAGAUACCCUGGUAGUCCACGCUGUAAACGAUGUCAACUAGCCGUUGGUCCUAUUGACAGGAUUAGUGGCGCAGCUAACGCCUUAAGUUGACCGCCUGGGGAGUACGGCCGCAAGGUUAAAACUCAAAUGAAUUGACGG
rnacentral:rRNA from 1 species